UGGCCUUUUCAGUCUGAGAGGGAGUGCAAACAGGGUGGGUGGUGGUCGAUACAUUUGGAGACUUAUGGGAACACCGAGGUUUUGGCAAAGGCACACAUAAAUUUCAGAGAAGACUUAAACAUAAUUUCAUAUCACACAAACUGCACAGUAGAAUUGGAAUGCAGGUCAAAACACAACAGCUGUUUAUCUUUCAUUUAAACUACCACAACAGGGUUGCUUAAACAAAUUCCCUUCCUUUCUCGAACUUUCAAACUCUUUAAUAUUUGCAUAAUGAUUAAUCUCCGGCUCCAGAGGAAAUUCCCAACGGAAAGAGACAACACAGAAGCAUUUUAAACUCCGACCACAUGGAAAAGAGUGAAGAGGGAGCGUGUCAAAUCUUCAGUGUUGGAGCCUGCUCCCUCGGGAGAAUUCUAAAUAAUGGCGGUCAUCCUGUUGAAUAUUAAACUGAGGACUGGAUGGCUGAGAGAACACAAUCCCAAACAUCUGGACACUGUCUACUAACUAGGCCAAAGGCGAAGAAAGGAGAUGAAUCUACUACAGUUGUCCUUGUAUCCCAAGACCUCAGACACCAAGACAGACUGCAGUCCUGGGGCAAGAGGCUCCUCCUUGUGUCCAGGGAUUUCUGCACUGCAGAGCUUCCGGGAAUGUGCAGGGCACGCUGGAGAAGCCCUGGCCCCUCUGACCCUUUGGGCCAACCCUCAUACUUUGCAGGCCUUUGGACUCUACUUUAGAAACCAGCCCCCGACUAAACCUGUAGAGGUCACCAUCUGGUCCUGAGGCUUUCCGAGGUGGAGAAUGAACUUGUUUUGCCCACAGAGGGCCAACGCCUAGAAUUCAGGUGUGGUGCUAUCCCGCGUCACCAGUCAAUCCAUGCGAAUGUGACAAUGACUCACAAUUCUCUGCAGCACAGUUUUCCAAAGUAUGGGCCAUUGGCCCUUUGCACCAACAUCUGCAGGUACUUACUUCCCCUGGAACAUCUUAAAUGUUGUUGGAAUCAUCGCUGUGAAUGUCACAGGAGACCAUUUCUGUGGAUACCUGAUGAGACAGAGUGUUUUGGAAAGGAACAAGGGGAUUCAGCUGACUCCACUGGAGGGGGCUCCCGUCCCUAAUUUACUGUUCCAUUCCUAAGGCUUCACCCUCCUGGGCUCAGUGUGAGCAGACAGCACAGGAGGCUAAAACCACCGUUGAGAUUCAAGUUCACAGACACAGAGCUGCCCCUCCACUGGGCCAGAGGCAAAGAAAAAUCCCAACCUCUUUCUUGUGAUCAUCUGGUUUUAUUGAACCUGGAAAGGAAGUAAAUUCCAAAGGCAGGAAAUGACCCAGGGACCAUAACAACAUGUGAAAAGCCAAGCCGGUGCUUCCGUCACUUUGUUUCAAACUAUUCUAAUCUGUGUCCCGGGAAGCCUAACCCAUUACCAGAUGGAGAUCUGUUUUCAGUCGCCUCUUGGCAUCUGCCACUCCCGGCUGGUGACAUUUGCACGUUUCAGAAGGCAAACCUGUGCCGACAUCUUCAAACUUCCGGAGAGGUGCAGCCCCAGGAAAGUCCUUGGGUCUCUGGCUGACAGCACCAGCCAUCUGACGCGCUUCGUCUGCAGCCGAGCUGCCGCUGGCCUCCAGCCUAGAACACUAGCACGCCGUGUCUGUUCUUGAAGAUUUGCAGAAUCUGAAAUCAAAAUGCCCCAUGUUGCCAGAAAAAGGCAGGCUCCCUCCCUAAUCCCUUCUCACCAGGCUUUCCUAACCCGAUGAGUCAGGAAGGACAAAAAUGUGUCUGAAGAUCUGGGGGUGGCCCUGUUUCUCUUUUUGCUUCUAAAAAUGUCCUCCCCUUUUCCAAUGUGUGUAAUGAUUAGGGAUGCGGUUGUACUUUUUCUCUGGUCCUUCCUCUAUCAGCUCUCACUUGGAGAGACCCUUCAUUUACCACUCAUGAAAUCAGCUCUGCAAAAGCUCCAGGCCCUCUGAUGAGGAAUUAGUCACUCACUGUUGCAAAGAAGUUCUGACUUCACUUCUGUCCCCAGGAGCAAGGCAAGAAAAAACUCCUACCUCUUCUCUCAGAAGGAACCAUCAUUCAGCUGCUUUGUUCUGGUCCCUGGGGGCCUGUAUUUUCCUAGGCUUUUAAUUUUUCCUGAACACUGAGCAUUAGCCUUCCCACGAAGGCUGUGUGCCAGCUGGAUUCUAAACACACCGAUCGAGGUGGCUUCUAGGAUACCUGCUCCAAACAGGUACCCUGAUAAGAGCUCCCCUCCCCCAGGUAAUCAGAAAGUAGAAAGUAACUAUAGUUGAAUGAAUAAUGCGCCUAACUCUUUCAACACUUUCAAAUGUUAAGCAGAUUAAAGUAUAAAGAAUCCAAUAUAUUUGUUGACAUCUGGUUCACAGAAAAGUUCUAGCAAGAAACAAGUGGGAAGUUCCACAUCAAGCUGGGGAAAUGGCAACAGCGGUGGAGGGCUGCCAUCAGAUCCCUGUCCCUGUGCGCAAAACCACCCUAGGCCACUGUCUACAAUUACGUUCUGUUUGUCAGGAAAGACGUCUUAAAAAGUAUGUUCUGCCCAGCCAUGGUGGCUCAUUGAGUGUGGACCUAUGAACCAGGAAGUCACGGUUUGAUUCCCCCUUGGGGUACACGUGCCUGGGUUUUGGGCUCCAUCCUCAAUGUGGGGUGUGCAGGAGGCAGCCAAUCAAUGAUUCUCUCUCAUCAUUGAUGUUUCUAUCUCUCUUUCCCUCUCCCUUCCUCUCUCUGAAAUCAAUAAAAACAUAUUUUUAAAAAAUGUUCUGAUAAGCUUGGCUUUCUCCAUGGAAAGGGAAUAUAGUCUCCAUUACAAGACAGCAGGUUGAUAUCAGAGGCAGGUUGUAUCCACUGUGGGCAGCUGGCAGUAGAUAGAAGAUAAAAGAAGCUAAGAGAUCUUCAUAAAAAGGGAGGGGGAGAGAGAGAGUGAGCGAGCCUUUUUUGUUAUUGCUGGGAAGAGACGGUCUUGUAGAAGAUAUAAGAGAUGUAUGUGUCUGUCUCUCCCCUUUGCUCUGCCUAUGGAAAAUGAGCCAGGAAAAAGCUAGAAACAGGAGACAGAGGGAGGCCGUCUUCCCAACUGUUGACAGCAGCCAAACAGAAUAAAUAGUUUAUAUUUUGAUGAUCUUGACAACAGUAAUCAUGAAGAGAAGGUAUUGACCCAGAUGAAAGAAAUAGGCUUUUAAUUUCAAGCUAUGCUUAAGCCCCAACGUGCUCCUAUCGGAGCCACUUACAUCAUCCAAGGGACUUUUGACUACAAUGACAGGAAUUUAGGGUAAAGGAAAUCAUACAAUUUAAUAGAAAAAUCAGGAUUAGAUUAAGAUGUGAUUGAGAAUGAUUAAAAAUUUGCGGGAAAGGUACAAAAUUAUACAUAUUUUUGUACUGCUCUCAGUCUUGAUCUAAUUGUUAGAAAAUGAACAUAGUUGAAAAUGGUGUUUAUUUAAAUGUACAACCGAGUCACAGAUUUUGUUAUUCCCUCUGGAGGCACAUAUUUGGGAUGACUGGCCAUUGGGAGCAGGGGUCUUCCAAUCUUUGAUAACCUUCACCAUAGACAAAGAACAGAGGAGGGAAGAACACAGCUUCUUGAGUGUUAGCCACUUAAAAUAGAUUCUUGUAAUUUUGCAAAUGAGGGAUCAGAAUCAAAAAUAGAAAAAGAAUAGAGCUAUGAGUCCUCAACUAUGCUCUAAGUACCCAGGAUACCAUAGCAAACUCUUAGGGGCGCUGUGGCAUAUGUUAAAUGUCAAGGAGUGCAUGGUAAUACUUGACAUAUGUUGGAUGCCAGGUGAAUGAACUACUAGGUCAAGAUGACUCAUAGUUUCAAAGUGAGAUUGCUCUCCAUUCCUUUCAAAGAUGUUUUAUCUUUGAGAAGUGGGGUUUUCAGCUGUUAUAAAAUGCAAGUACCGACUGAAAGUCAGUGUGGAGCAAGAUGUGCAGGUGGUGGUGUCUUCACAGUUUCCAAGAUGUGAGAUGAUGUUCAGCUUACACACCCUUUUAUAAGCAACUGUGGUUAAGAAUAAAAUUAAAAUAUUUGUCUUUCAAUUUAUGUUUUUUUCCAAACGGCUAAAUUAUUAGGACUUAACUGUUGCAUACAUAUUUCUGUUAGGUAUUUCUUGUGGCCUAGGGGCUCUGUGAAAAAAUUAGUGAGACAUGAAGAUGCUGUGUGUUGAGAAAGUUUGGGAACCUCUGAAUUAGAGCAAUACAAACUAGGUAGAUUUUAAUGGCUUAGGCUCAUUGUUGAGAAUAAAAAAGUGAUUCUAUCCUUUCCCCUUCUAGCCAGGCCACUGCUCCAGUAUUUUACCCUGUUCUCCCAUGAAAUGAGCAUUCUCGGUCUGAAUGUUUUUUUAAUUAAUGCAACUAUUUGGUAGACUAUUAAAAGUUAUCUUGUACAAUAUUUCUUAAAUCAUCUUCAGUGAAGGAUUUGUAAAAUUUUCUAAUCUUCCAUGGACUGUGUGAUGAUUGAUUUUAUGUAUUAACUUGGCUGGGUCAUGUGUACAUGUUACAUGCCAUUUUGGUGGCUCUGACUCCUGGCAGUCUUGUGAAUGAGUGUCCACAAUGUCCUGGCCUCAACAGCCCUGUUCAGCUCUGGUAGAUUCAUGCCUGUGGCCUCUCUUAUGGAGUUAACCCAUCUCAUAGUUGGUCUACUUCUUUUUCUGCUGCCUUCUAUUUUUCUCAGCAUUAUUGUUUUUCAAAGAAUCCUGCCCUCUCAUAAUGUACUUGAAGUAAGACAACUUCUGUUUUGUCACGUUUUCCCUCAAGCAGUGUUCCCUCAAGGAUUAAUUUGCUCUUAGGACUUCCUAGCUGUCUUUCUGGUGGUCCAGGGUAUCCACAGAGCUCUUCUCCAACACUAUAACUCAAAUUAAUCAAUUUUUUUCUAUCAGCCUUCUUAACUCUCCAACUUUUGCAUCUGUACAUAGUGAUUGGGAAUAUGAGAAAUGUGGAUAAUCAUAGCCUUGGUC